UACGAAGGGGGGCUAGCGUUGUUCGGAAUUACUGGGCGUAAAGCGCACGUAGGCGGAUAUUUAAGUUAGGGGUGAAAUCCCAGGGCUCAACCCUGGAACUGCCUUUAAUACUGGGUAUCUCGAGUCCGAGAGAGGUGAGUGGAAUUCCCGAGUGUAGAGGUGAAAUUCGUAGAUAUUCGGAGGAACACCAGUGGCGAAGGCGGCUCACUGGCUCGGUACUGCGCUGAGGUGCGAAAGCCAG
rnacentral:rRNA from 1 species